CCUACGGGAGGCAGCAGUGAGGAAUAUUGGUCAAUGGGAGAGAUCCUGAACCAGCCAAGCCGCGUGAGGGAAGACGGCCCUAUGGGUUGUAAACCUCUUUUGUCGGAGAACAAAACCCGGGACGUGUCCCGGACUGCGUGUAUCCGAAGAAAAAGCAUCGGCUAACUCCGUGCCAGCAGCCGCGGUAAUACGGAGGAUGCGAGCGUUAUCCGGAUUUAUUGGGUUUAAAGGGUGCGUAGGCGGUCCGUUAAGUCAGCGGUAAAAUUGCGGGGCUCAACCCCGUCGAGCCGUUGAAACUGGCAGACUUGAGUUGGCGAGAAGUACGCGGAAUGCGCGGUGUAGCGGUGAAAUGCAUAGAUAUCGCGCAGAACUCCGAUUGCGAAGGCAGCGUACCGGCGCCAGACUGACGCUGAGGCACGAAAGCGUGGGGAUCGAACAGGAUUAGAUACCCCAGUAGUC
rnacentral:rRNA from 1 species